CCUGGUGGCGAGCGGCGGACGGGUGAGUAAUGCCUAGGAAUCUGCCUGGUAGUGGGGGAUAACGCUCGGAAACGGACGCUAAUACCGCAUACGUCCUACGGGAGAAAGCAGGGGACCUUCGGGCCUUGCGCUAUCAGAUGAGCCUAGGUCGGAUUAGCUAGUUGGUGAGGUAAUGGCUCACCAAGGCGACGAUCCGUAACUGGUCUGAGAGGAUGAUCAGUCACACUGGAACUGAGACACGGUCCAGACUCCUACGGGAGGCAGCAGUGGGGAAUAUUGGACAAUGGGCGAAAGCCUGAUCCAGCCAUGCCGCGUGUGUGAAGAAGGUCUUCGGAUUGUAAAGCACUUUAAGUUGGGAGGAAGGGCAGUUACCUAAUACGUGAUUGUUUUGACGUUACCGACAGAAUAAGCACCGGCUAACUCUGUGCCAGCAGC
rnacentral:rRNA from 2 species